rnacentral:misc_RNA from 1 species
GAUGAAGAACGUAGCGAAAUGCGAUACGUAAUGUGAAUUGCAGAAUUCAGUGAAUCAUCGAAUCUUUGAACGCAUAUUGCGCUCUCUGGUAUUCCGGAGAGCAUGCUUGUUUGAGUAUCAGUAAACACCUCAACUUCCAUAUCUUUUUUGAAAUGGGAGUUGGACUUGAGUGAUCCCAACGCUUUUCCUCACCGAAAAGUGGCGGGUUACUUGAAAUGCAGGUGCAGCUGGACUUUUCUCUGAGCUAUAAGCAUAUCUAUUUAGUCUGCCUAAAAAACAGAUUAUUACCUUUGCUGCAGCUAACAUAAAGGAGAUUAGUUCUUGUGCUGACUGAUGCAGGAUUCACAAAGACAGGCUUCGGCCGCCUUUGUAAACUCGAUCUCAAAUCAAGUAAGACUACCCGCUGAACUUAAGCAUAUCAAUAAGCGGAGGA